GAUUAACGCUGGCGGUAUGCCUAACACAUGCAAGUCGAACGAACCUUCGGGUUAGUGGCGAACGGGUGAGUAAUACAUUGGUACUUGCCGCAGAGUAGGACAUAGCCUGCCGACAGGUGGGGUAAUUUCCUAUAGUCUAAGCAAUUAGUAAAGCAGCAAUGCGCUCUGAGAGAGACCUCUGUCCUAUCAGCUUGUUGGUGAGGUAAAGGCUCGCCAAGGCUACGACGGGUAGCUGGAUCGAGAGGUUGACCAGCCACACUGGACUGAGACACGGCCCAGACUCCUACGGGAGGCAGCAGUGGGGAAUCUUGCGCAAUGGGCGAAAGCCUGACGCAGCCAUGCCGCGUGAAUGAUGAAGGUCUUAGGAUUGUAAAAUUCUUUUACCAGGGACGAUAAUGACGGUACCUGGAGAAAAAGCCCCGGCUAACUUCGUGCCAGCCGCCGCCGUAAUAC
rnacentral:rRNA from 1 species